CUUGCUCCCGGAUGUUAGCGGCGGACGGGUGAGUAACACGUGGGUAACCUGCCUGUAAGACUGGGAUAACUCCGGGAAACCGGAGCUAAUACCGGAUAGUUCCUUGAACCGCAUGGUUCAAGGAUGAAAGACGGUUUCGGCUGUCACUUACAGAUGGACCCGCGGCGCAUUAGCUAGUUGGUGAGGUAACGGCUCACCAAGGCGACGAUGCGUAGCCGACCUGAGAGGGUGAUCGGCCACACUGGGACUGAGACACGGCCCAGACUCCUACGGGAGGCAGCAGUAGGGAAUCUUCCGCAAUGGACGAAAGUCUGACGGAGCAACGCCGCGUGAGUGAUGAAGGUUUUCGGAUCGUAAAGCUCUGUUGUUAGGGAAGAACAAGUGCAAGAGUAACUGCUUGCACCUUGACGGUACCUAACCAGAAAGCCACGGCUAACUACGUGCCAGCAGCCGCGGUAAUACGUAGGUGGCAAGCGUUGUCCGGAAUUAUUGGGCGUAAAGGGCUCGCAGGCGGUUUCUUAAGUCUGAUGUGAAAGCCCCCGGCUCAACCGGGGAGGGUCAUUGGAAACUGGGAAACUUGAGUGCAGAAGAGGAGAGUGGAAUUCCACGUGUAGCGGUGAAAUGCGUAGAGAUGUGGAGGAACACCAGUGGCGAAGGCGACUCUCUGGUCUGUAACUGACGCUGAGGAGCGAAAGCGUGGGGAGCGAACAGGAUUAGAUACCCUGGUAGUCCACGCCGUAAACGAUGAGUGCUAAGUGUUAGGGGGUUUCCGCCCCUUAGUGCUGCAGCUAACGCAUUAAGCACU
rnacentral:rRNA from 1 species